CUCUCCCAGAAUUCAAGUCUACAUAAAACCUCAGAACGUGACCUGAUGGGACAGUAAGAUCUUUGCAAAUAUUAUUAGUUAAGAUGAGGUCAUAAUGGAGUAAGUUAGAGCCUGAAUGCAACAACUGAUGUCUAAGAAGACACACAAGACACACAGACACAGCAGAGGCAGAGACACAAAGAUGUGAAGAUGUAAGCAGAGAAUGGAGUGAUGCAUCCACAAACCAAGGAAUGCUAAGGAAUGCUGGGAGGCACCAAAAGAAACAAAAAGGCAAGGAAGAACUGUUUCCCAGAGCCCUCAGAGGGAAUAUAGCCCCGUUGAUGCUGAUUUCAAACCUCAAGGCUCCAAAACUCCUGCACAGCCUGAGGACAUUCAAACAGUCCUAG
rnacentral:lncRNA from 1 species